UAAGGCACGACAUUGCUCACAUUGCUUCCAGUAUUUUUAUUAGCCGGCUCGGGUGCCGGCUACUUUUU
rnacentral:antisense_RNA from 2 species